rnacentral:lncRNA from 1 species
UGCCGUUCUUGAUCUCCUUGAGCUUGAGCUCCUUCAUCUCCUUCUCGGUCUUUCCGAACCCGAGCGGGUUGAAGAGCGGGCCGCCGGGGUAGGACGGGUCGCCGGAGCCGGCGAGGAACUUCUCGAGGCCGAGGAAGUACUGCUUGCCCAUGGAGCCCGGGUUGUACCAGUCCUGGAGGCGGCGGUGCUCGGCGAAGCCCAUGAGCGCCAUGUUGAAGACGAAGAGCGUGUAGGAGUCGGCCCAGUAGUUGUAGGUGCCCGCCGGCGGGAUGACCCCCGUCUUGAACCACGGCAGCGCCGUCUCCGGCGGGAUGAGGCCCAGCUUGCCGAAGACCUCCGGAGCGAUGGCGCCCGCAGCGCCCAGCAUGGCGAAGCGCCCGUUGAUCACCUCCCCGUAGGCCAGCCACUUGGGCUCGAUGAAGCCGCCGGUGCCCUCCGGGUCGGAGAGGCCCAGCGGGUCGAAACCGUAGUCGCCGGGCAGCCUGCGACGACGACGGCAUCGUCCAAGAUCGGAUCAGUAUAUAGUAACUGCAAGAACAUUCAUGGAGGCAUGGAGCUAGCAGUACGUACGUGCCAUCGAGGUAGGAGAGGGAUUGCUUGGACGCGAACCACAGCUGCCUGUCAGCGCCUUGCUGCAAGAAAGAAGAUUCAUCCAUGAUCAGUAGCUCGUUUUAGACGAUGAGCUCGGCAAGUAAGAGGUGCAGCGAGAGCAGGUCCGCGCAG